GCAGCAGCCGCGGGAAUACGGAGGGUGCAAGCGUUAUCCGGAUUUAUUGGGUUUAAAGGGUCCGUAGGCGGAUCUGUAAGUCAGUGGUGAAAUCUCACAGCUUAACUGUGAAACUGCCAUUGAUACUGCAGGUCUUGAGUAAAUUUGAAGUGGCUGGAAUAAGUAGUGUAGCGGUGAAAUGCAUAGAUAUUACUUAGAACACCAAUUGCGAAGGCAGGUCACUAAGAUUUAACUGACGCUGAUGGACGAAAGCGUGGGGAGCGAACAGGAUUAGAUACCCCAGUAGUCCCUGUCUCUUAUAC
rnacentral:rRNA from 1 species